rnacentral:rRNA from 1 species
AGUAGUGCAGAGGUAGGCGGAAUUCCCGGUGUAGCGGUGGAAUGCGUAGAUAUCGGGAGGAACACCAUUGGCGAAGGCGGCCUACUGGGCACCAACUGACGCUGAGGCUCGAAAGUGUGGGUAGCAAACAGGAUUAAAUACCCUGGUAGUCCACACCGUAAACGAUGAUUACUACGUGUUGGAGGAUUGACCCCUUCAGUGCCGCAGUUAACACAAUAAGUAAUCCACCUGGGGAGUACGACCGCAAGGUUGAAACUCAAAGAAUUU